AGAGUUUGAUUAUGGCUCACGAUGAACGCUGGCGGCGUGCCUAACACAUGCAAGUCGAACGGAUCCAUGCUGAAACCUAGUGAUGCAUGGAUUACUGGCGGACGGGUGAGUAACGCGUGGAUAACCUGCCGUAUACUGGGGGAUAACACUUAGAAAUAGGUGCUAAUACCGCAUAAGCGCACAGUCUCGCAUGAGACGGUGUGAGAAACUCCGGUGGUAUACGAUGGAUCCGCGUCUGAUUAACUUGUUGGCGGGGUAACAGCCCACCAAGGCGACGAUCAGUAGCCGGCCUGAGAGGGUGAACGGCCACAUUGGGACUGAGAUACGGCCCAAACUCCUACGGGAGGCAGCAUUGGGGAAUAUUGCACAAUGGGGGAAACUCUGAUGCAACGACGCCGCGUGAGUGAAGAAGUACCCCGGUACGUAAAGCUCUAU
rnacentral:rRNA from 1 species